rnacentral:rRNA from 1 species
UAAGGGCGCACGGUGGAUGCCUUGGCACUAGAAGCCGAUGAAGGACGUUACUAACGACGAUAUGCUUUGGGGAGCUGUAAGUAAGCUUUGAUCCAGAGAUUUCCGAAUGGGGAAACCCAGCAUGAGUUAUGUCAUGUUAUCGAUAUGUGAAUACAUAGCAUAUCAGAAGGCACACCCGGAGAACUGAAACAUCUUAGUACCCGGAGGAAGAGAAAGAAAAUUCGAUUCCCUUAGUAGCGGCGAGCGAAACGGGAAGAGCCCAAACCAACAAGCUUGCUUGUUGGGGUUGUAGGACACUCUAUACGGAGUUACAAAGGACGACAUUAGACGAAUCAUCUGGAAAGAUGAAUCAAAGAAGGUAAUAAUCCUGUAGUCGAAAAUGUUGUCUCUCUUGAGUGGAUCCUGAGUACGACGGAGCACGUGAAAUUCCGUCGGAAUCUGGGAGGACCAUCUCCUAAGGCUAAAUACUCUCUAGUGACCGAUAGUGAACCAGUACCGUGAGGGAAAGGUGAAAAGCACCCCGGAAGGGGAGUGAAAUAGAACCUGAAACCGUGUGCUUACAAGUAGUCAGAGCCCGUUAAUGGGUGAUGGCGUGCCUUUUGUAGAAUG